rnacentral:lncRNA from 10 species
CAACAAGCAAAAUCUUGAAAGGUCAAUUACUCAGCAUGGCCUCUUACUGGCAAAAUUAGCCAUGGAUUUUGAAUGCUUAGGAGACAUGAUGAACAAAACAUGAGAUUAAAUCAAGCACAAGAGGAAAUGAUGCAGUCAAGAGAUGUGGUAAACAUGAGAUAGAUGAGGCUGCUGCUGGUCAAACACAGCAUACUGUUUUACAGUAAACUUUGA